rnacentral:rRNA from 1 species
CCUACGGGAGGCAGCAGUGAGGAAUAUUGGUCAAUGGCCGAGAGGCUGAACCAGCCAAGUCGCGUGAGGGAAGACGGCCCUACGGGUUGUACACCUCUUUUGUCGGGGAGCAAAGCGAACCACGUGUGGUUCAUUGAGUGUACCCGAAGAAACAGCAUCGGCUAACUCCGUGCCCGCAGCCGCGGUAAUACGGAGGAUGCGAGCGUUAUCCGGAUUUAUUGGGUUUAAAGGGUGCGCAGGCGGAGGUGCCAAUCAGCGGUCAACUUGCGGGGCUCAACCCCGUACUGCCGUUGAAACUGCAUCCCUUGAGUGCGCGAGAAGUAUGCGGAAUGCGUUGUGUAGCGGUGAAAUGCAUAGAUAUCACGCAGAACUCCGAUUGCGAAGGCAGCAUACCGGCGCGCAACUGACGCUCAUGCACGAAAGCGUGGGUAUCGAACAGGAUUAGAUACCCUUGUAGUC